rnacentral:rRNA from 1 species
UUAAUAGUAAAAUCUGCUCAAUGAUAAAUUUCAAUAGCCGCAAUUCGUGCUAAGGUAGCAUAAUCAUUUGUCUUUUAAAUGAGGACCAGAACAAAAGAUUUAACAUUUUCAUUUUAUUUACCAAUUUUAUUCCAUUAAAAUUUUCCUAAAUGUAAAAAGACAUUUAUUUAAUAGAAAGACGACAAGACCCUAUUGAACUUAACUUAAGUUAAACUGGGGCAGUUUUUUAAUUAUCAUUUUAAUCAUUUUAAAAAUAUACUUAUCUAAUAAAAUUAAGUAAUCCAGUUACCAUAGGGAUAACAGCGUAAUUAUAUUCUAAAGAUCUUAUUUAUAAUUUAGAUUGCGACCUCGAUGUUGAAUUAAUAACCUAAUUAAGGCAAGACUUAAAAAAGGAGGUCUGUUCGACCUUUAAAAAAUUACAUGAUUUGAGUUCAGACCGGUACAAGCCAGGUCGGCUUCUAUCUCCUAAAAAGUUUUCUACAGUACGAAAGGGACCAGAAAUAUAAUU